rnacentral:tRNA from 1 species
GAGGGUAUAGCUCAGUGGCAGAGUGCAUGCUUAAUGAGCACAAGUCCUGGGUUCAAUCCCCAGCGCCUCCA